rnacentral:rRNA from 1 species
CCUACGGGAGGCAGCAGUGAGGAAUAUUGGUCAAUGGACGAGAGUCUGAACCAGCCAAGUAGCGUGAAGGAUGACUGCCCUAUGGGUUGUAAACUUCUUUUAUAUGGGAAUAAAAUGUUCCACGUGUGGGAUUUUGUAUGUACCAUAUGAAUAAGGAUCGGCUAACUACGUGCCAGCAGCCGCGGUAAUACGGAGGAUCCGAGCGUUAUCCGGAUUUAUUGGGUUUAAAGGGAGCGUAGGUGGAUUGUUAAGUCAGUUGUGAAAGUUUGCGGCUCAACCGUAAAAUUGCAGUUGAAACUGGCAGUCUUGAGUACAGUAGAGGUAAGCGGAAUUCGUGGUGUAGCGGUGAAAUGCUUAGAUAUCACGAAGAACUCCGAUUGCGAAGGCAGUUCACUGGACUGCAACUGACACUGAGGCUCGAAAGUGUGGGUAUCAAACAGGAUUAGAUACCCGUGUAGUC